rnacentral:rRNA from 1 species
UACGUAGGGCGCAAGCGUUGUCCGGAAUUAUUGGGCGUAAAGAGCGUGUAGGCGGCCAGGUAGGUCUGCUGUGAAAACUCGAGGCUUAACCUCGAGCUGUCGGCGGAAACCAUCUGGCUAGAGUCCGGAAGAGGAGAAUGGAAUUCCCGGUGUAGCGGUGAAAUGCGCAGAUAUCGGGAAGAACACCCGUGGCGAAGGCGGUUCUCUGGGCAUGUCCUGACGCUGAGGAGCGAAAGUGUGGGGAGCGAACAGG